rnacentral:rRNA from 1 species
UACGAAGGGGGCUAGCGUUGCUCGGAAUCACUGGGCGUAAAGGGUGCGUAGGCGGGUCUUUAAGUCAGGGGUGAAAUCCUGGAGCUCAACUCCAGAACUGCCUUUGAUACUGAGGAUCUUGAGUACGGGAGAGGUGAGUGGAACUGCGAGUGUAGAGGUGAAAUUCGUAGAUAUUCGGAAGAACACCAGUGGCGAAGGCGACUCACUGGACACAUAUUGACGCUGAGGUGCGAAAGCGUGGGGAGCAAACAGG